rnacentral:rRNA from 1 species
CCUACGGGUGGCAGCAGUGAGGAAUAUUGGUCAAUGGGCGGAAGCCUGAACCAGCCAAGCAGCGUGCGGGAUGAAGGUCCUACGGGUCGUAAACCGCUUUUGCACGGGGAUAACACCCUCCACUUGUGGAGGUCUGCAGGUACCGUGCGAAUAAGGGCCGGCUAAUUCCGUGCCAGCAGCCGCGGUAAUACGGAAGGCCCGAGCGUUAUCCGGAUUCAUUGGGCUUAAAGGGAGCGUAGGCGGACGUUCAAGUCAGCGGUAAAAUCGCGGGGCUCAACCGCGCCCCGCAGUUGAAACUGGAUGCCUUGAGAUCACGACAGGCAGGCGGAAUGCGUGGUGUAGCGGUGAAAUGCAUAGAUAUCACGAGGAACCCCGAUUGCGAAGGCAGCCUGCCGGGGUGCGACUGACGCUGAGGCUCGAAGGUGUGGGUAUCAAACAGGAUUAGAUACCCUUGUAGUC